CUUCGUUGGCAAGAGAGAAUCACGAGGAUACCAAAUGUUCUUAANGAACGUUUGAAAGGUCAAGCGAACAUGGGCGCAGGCGAAUGCUUGGCACUGGAGCCGAUGAAAGACGUGAUAAGCUGCGAUAAGCUUCGGGGAGCUGCAAAUAAGCAUUGAUCCGGAGAUUUCUGAAUGAGGAAACUUCACCUGGGUUCAUACUCAGGUACGUUAUACUGAACUUAAAAAUAGGUAUAUCGAGGGAACCGCCUGAACUGAAACAUCUAAGUAGGGCGAGGAAGAGACAUCAAACGAGAUUCCGUAAGUAGUGGCGAGCGAACGCGGAAGAGGGCAAACCGGAAGUAGAAAUACUUCCGGGGUACGGACCGCAUUUAGGACUUGAGUUGUUAACCGAACGGCAUGGGAAGGCCGGUCAGAGAGUGUGAGAACCACGUAGGUGAAAACGACAAGAGCUGAGCGAGUUCCAGAGUACGGCCAGACACGUGAAACCUGGUCGGAAUACGGGGGGACCACCCUCCAACCCUAAAUACUAC
rnacentral:rRNA from 1 species